AUGUUAAGGACUGGCAGUCCUUAACUUUAAUUACAUGUUUAAAUGUUAAGGACAGACAGUCCUUAUCUUGGUCUUGCACUUACAGUACACCUGUUCUUAAUUCUACAAGGAUUGCUUUAUAACGUAUGUCCUUUGUUUCCCAUUCUCUUGACUUGUAGGAUGGAAACAAUAUGCAUAAUAGUUGCUUUUAAUGGUAGAUGGACUGAAGACUAUAAAUAUCUUGAUCAUCAAACAAAGCUUUUCCUAGCACCUGAGUCAAUUCAGUUUGAAGAUUUCGUUAAACAGAUUUUUGAGCUUAUUGAAUUGGAUAGAGAAAAGUUUGAAAUAGUGAUAUGGUUUGAUAUCAACCUUGGAACAAGCAAAGGAAUGCUUGUAUCCAAAGAUUUAGAUCUUCACACAUGUAUAGAGUUGCUAAAAACUCAUUCACUCUUCAAGAGCUGUCGUUUCAUAGUUGAUAUUUCGGAAAGAGUUUUUGCAUCAACAAGCAAUGAACAUGCCAACACAAAAACUCAACAUGACAAUCAAGAGCGAUGCCAACAGAUAGUUGAAGUAGAUAUGGUUGAAGCUCAACCUUUAAAUGAAGAGGUGCAUCAAACAUUUGAUUGUAUUCAAGUAGAAGGACAAAGCAUUAUAGAGAUUGACAACGAACAAGCUUUGGGUAUUCAUGUCUUAGAGAGUGCACUGGUAAUCGAAGUAGUUGCUGACAAAACUUGCACUCAAAUAACUAGACGAAGAUCAAAUUUGAAACAAAAAGAAUCCCCAACUACGAUAUUAAGAGAAAAUGCUUCUUUGGAUAAAAUAAAAGUCGGAUCAGUAUUUGAUAAGAAGAAGAGCAUAAUUAACUGUUUUUCCAAUAUAGCAAUCAAAGGACAUUUUGAAUUCAAAGUUGUUAGAUCAAGAUCAACAAGAUAUUCGUUGACAUGCAAUGAUGAUAGGUGUCGUUGGUGUGUGCGUGCUUUCAGAAUUAAAGACUCAACAUUAUUCAAGAUAGUAAAGCUUGAAAAAAAGCACGACUGCUCUGUUAACACUAGGAAAGCAGAUCAAAGGCAUGCUACUUCAAAGUUGAUUAGUGGUUACAUUAUUGAUAAUCUUCGGAACCCAAGAUUUGAAGUUACACCAGCUUUUGUCAUGGCAGAGAUGCAAAAAUUGCAUGGACUAGACAUUGGAUAUCACAAGGUGUGGCGUGCUAUUCAACAUGCUUUCACUAUAAUAAGAGGAAGUCCCGAAGAAAAUUAUGAAUUAUUGUGUUCAUACUUGUAUAUGAUGACAAGUAAGAACCCAGGAACUUAUACUAAUAUAAAGAUAGACGACAACAACAGGUAAACCAUCGAUAGCUGGUUGGAAUCAUUGUAGACCAGUGAUUGCUGUUGAUGCAACUUUUUUGAAGUCAAAAUAUCGCGGUGUUUUAAUGAUUUCAGUUUCAAAAGAUGCAAAUAACCAAAUUUUCCUAUUAGCCUUUGGAAUAGCAGAAUCUGAAAACAACAGUUCCUAUGAUUGGUACUUUAGUCAGCUUCGCAAUGCAAUUGGGAGCCGUGAGAAUUUGAUUUUUUUAUCAGAGAGGCAUCAAGCUAUUGCAAAUGGCAUUGUAAAGGUAUAUCCUGAAAGCCAUCAUAGGAUUUGCAUCUAUCAUUUGGAGCAGAACCUAAAGUGAAGAAAGGUGAAAAGUGAGGUCAUAAAACUUUUCCAAAGUGCUGCUAGAGUAUACAAGCGUAAAGAAUUUGACAUAUACAUGUCAGAUAUUGCAAAUGUAGAUAAGAAAACUUAUGACUACUUGAUGUAAGAACCACCGGAAAGAUGGGCACGUUCUUGUAGUCCACGAUGAAGAUAUGACAUGCUCACAACAAACAUAGUUGAGUCGAUGAAUUCAGUGCUAUUAGAAGCAAGGGAGCUGCCUAUACUAAGAAUGAUGGAUUUCAUUCAAGUGAAGCUACAACAUUGGUUUUAUGAAAGAAGAAAUAAAGCAGAAGGAACAUUUUAUGAUGUUUCUUGUUGGGUAGAGGAGGAAUUGAAGAACAGAAUAGAUUUAGCAUUUACUUUGAACGUCUUCCCUGUUGAUUCAUGGCGUUCUAGAGUUGAAGAAGAAGGAAUAACUUUCUUGGUGGACUUAAACAAAAGAACAUGUGAUUGUUUUCAAUUUCAACUUGAUGAAUUACCAUGCAUACAUGCAAUUGCAGCUAUCGAGAAGAGAAACAUCAAGAAGUCUGACUUUUGUUCGCACUGGUACUUAAAGGAAUCUUGGCUGAAAACAUAUGAAAGACAAAUACAUCCUGUAGGACAUACUGAUUCAUGGAUUGUACCAGAGAGUGUUAAGUCACAAAUUGUUAAACCUCCAGAUUUCAAAGUGCCACCAGGUAGAAGGCAAAAGAAAAGGCAUAUUCCUGCUACCGAGCCAUCAAAAAUAACAUUCAAAUGUGGUCGUUGCAGAAGAAUUGGUCAUAAUAGAACAGCUUGUAUAUAUUCUCCGGCACUCCAUCCAUUUUCAAGAAAGCAUAGAGAAGAGUAGAAAUAUACACUUAUGUUUAUCGACUCUUUUAGGUUUUUGCUAUAGAUUGUAUUCAUUAUUAUUCUAAUUUGAGUGGAUGCCUAG